CCAUCUGAAGUUUACUGUCACUACAUGCUGCUGGCGCUGAUUUGAAUAGACCUGAACGCUACGCUGUAUAGCGCUGAUGGUAUCUCCUUUA